GUUCGGAAUUACUGGGCGUAAAGCGCGUGUAGGCGGGUCUUUAAGUCAGGGGGGAAAUGCCAAGGCUCAACCUUGGAACUGCCUUUGAUACUGGAGACCUUGAGUCCGGGAGAGGUGAGUGGAAUUGCGAGUGUAGAGGUGAAAUUCGUAGAUAUUCGCAAGAACACCAGUGGCGAAGGCGGCUCACUGGCCCGGAACUGACGCUGAGAUGCGAAAGCGUGGGGAGCAAACAGG
rnacentral:rRNA from 1 species